GGAAAGCCCAAGUAAGUGGGCAUGAAACCAGAUAAAAUGUCAGAAAGAGAGACAGAUUCCAUUUCCCAAUUCAUGCAUCUCUCUUCCCACCAAUCACUCUCUUUGCCUCUCACCAUGCACAAGCAUCAUAACCUCAUUGGAGUCUCUCUCUCCCCCCCUCUCUCUCAUAUCUUCUGUUCCCAAGCCCAUACAUCAUCUUGCAUCUUCUUCUGCCAUUACCAUUACAUUACAUUACCUCCUUUAUUAAAUACCCCCACCCCUUGGCUUCACAUUUUCCAACACAAAAAACUCUUUCAAAUACCCCCUCUUUACAUCAUCAUCAGCUUCUAAAGCCAAACCUAAACACUUCAUAUGUACUUUGCUUGUUUCUUUACAUUCUCUCUUGCCUAAACUAACUAAUAUGGAUGGUGAAAACAUUCACAACACUGCAGAGGACUCGACAGCAGCCGGGGCAGCAAGAUCAUUCCCCUGUCUAUUCUGUUCAAGAAAGUUUCACAGCUCACAAGCCUUAGGAGGCCAUCAGAAUGCUCACAAGAAAGAAAGAACCGCAGCCCGAAAGGCGAAAAGAGCUUCUUCUACUUACAAUCUGGCCUCAACUUUCCAAACCCCUCCCCUGUUUUUCACUCCAAAUCAUCAAUUUGGACUCCUCAAUCCUUCCCUCUACAUAACUGCCCAUGCAGCUAACCUCUGUGCAUUGCCUAGCCCCCCAUUUUCGGAUCGUCUGGUCUCGAAUGCCGGGGCUCCAAGAUUCGAGAACCUUGUGUUCUACCGCGGGAACUACAUGAACAACAAUUCAUAUCAGUUCGAAGAUGAUGAUCAGCAGAGCCUCAUGAACUGGCAAAGAAAUGGAUUUGUUAAAGAAAGUUCAUCUCAGAAUAGGCUUGUUAGCACUAGUGGGAAUAAUGACAGUGUGGUUAGAGAUCAGAAGCUUGAUUUGUCUCUUCAUUUGUGAGCAAACAAGCUGAAAGAUUUCGGUUUUGAUUAGACGGCGUUUAUUUAUGUAGAAGAUGCAAUGGCAAAAGUAGAUUUUUCUCUUACUGUUUCAUCACCAUUGUGUUAUAACGAGUAUUAGUUUUCUUUUGAGAAUAAAAAGUAUGCUAUGACUUAUUUGUU